rnacentral:rRNA from 1 species
GACGAACGCUGGCGGCGUGCUUAACACAUGCAAGUCGAACGGAAAGGCCCGGCUUUUGUGGGGGGCUCGAGUGGCGAACGGGUGAGUAACACGUGAGUAACCUGCCCUUGACUGUGGGAUAACUUCAGGGAACUGGGGCUAAUACCGGAUAGGAGCUCCUGCUGCAUGGUGGGGGUUGGAAAGGUUCGGCGGUGGGGGAUGGACUCGCGGCUUAUCAGCUUGUUGGUGGGGUAGUGGCUUACCAAGGCUUUGACGGGUAGCCGGCAUGAGAGGGUGACCGGCCACAUUGGGACUGAGAUACGGCCCAGACUCCUACGGGAGGCAGCAGUGGGGAAUAUUGCACAAUGGGCGGAAGCCUGAUGCAGCAACGCCGCGUGCGGGAUGACGGCCUUCGGGUUGUAAACCGCUUUCGCCUGUGACGAAGCGUGAGUGACGGUAAUGGGUAAAGAAGCACCGGCUAACUACGUG